UACGUAGGUGGCAAGCGUUGUCCGGAAUUAUUGGGCGUAAAGCGCGCGCAGGCGGUCCUUUAAGUCUGAUGUGAAAGCCCACGGCUCAACCGUGGAGGGUCAUUGGAAACUGGGGGACUUGAGUGCAGAAGAGGAAAGCGGAAUUCCACGUGUAGCGGUGAAAUGCGUAGAGAUGUGGAGGAACACCAGUGGCGAAGGCGGCUUUCUGGUCUGUAACUGACGCUGAGGCGCGAAAGCGUGGGGAGCAAACAGG
rnacentral:rRNA from 2 species